CACCAUUUUCCUCCAUUGAUGCACCUUCGAAGCUUCACCAAAAUAUGCCAAACACAUAAAUCACCAACAAAAUCCCACCUUAAACACCUUCCAUCUCCUUAGAUUCAAGAAGAUCCAUGGAGAUUCAAUCUUGAAGAUAGUGAGAGAAAAUUUGAUAUUUGGUGUAAACUUGGGCUAAGCGAGGAGUGAGAUUGGUCUGGUGCUGGUGGGGGAUCGUUAGAUGACGUAUUUACUUUAUCGUAUUUCCUUUUUAUCGAUAAAGUCUUGAUGUGAAGUUACUUUGAAUAUGAAUCAAGUAAUAUACUCA